CAUCGAUCGAACGUUAAGGAACUGCUUCUUACCGGUGAGACAGGAAACGAGCAAAUGAAAAUUACGGAAAAGUAGGUCAUUGUUACGACCUUACGUUCGAGUAAAGAUAAACGCGUUCAUGUUUGACAAAUUCCUACGAAAUAUACAUUUUUGAAUUUUAAAGAGAGUUUCGCAACACUCGUUAUACAAUUACGAAAAUUAGGGCUUCCGAGUGCAAGCUUUUGAAAGAAAUGUCUCGACGUUUCGCAUCGCAGUUACCUUAGUCAUGAGAUGAAUUUGCUUUUCAAUUUUUUAUUAUAAAGUAUACAAUCCGCUGCCAGGUGGACGUUCGUUAAACUCUUCUUACAUCGAGUUUACGUAGCAUAAUAAAGCGGAUAUUUAUACGUUUAUAGGAUAUUUAAAAGCGUAAAGCUGUACAGAAUAUACACGGUAUAGAAAAAAAUAUUGAAAUAUCCAAAUGUAUCUCGUUACGAUAUUCAAGUUACCGUUCAGAACGCCUUCGGUUGUAAUUUCAGAUAAAAAUAUAAAUUUUUAAAUAUCUGCAAUUUAAAAACGAUAAAGAUAAGAUAGUUGUUUGAUUAAAAACUCGAACAAUACGCGAAUACGUUAUUGGUAUCGAUCUGUAAUUUUGACAUAUCUCUUUCGAAAGAACGUGCUUGGCACGCGUAAGCCCCGAUUUUUAUGAUCGUGACGCGCGAUUACCAUACCAGCAGUUUUCAAUUUUUAUUUGUUUUUGUUAAGCAGAGGAGUCGUUUACCGAGCACGCGGAGAGCGUGAAAAAUCGAUCUUUGGUAUUAAAAAGCGAUACUUCACCGGCACGGUAAAACGAUACAAGUUACAAAGCUUGGAUAAUUAAAGUACUUUGCUGCUACUUUAUUAAAUAAAUCGAAAAAUAUCCGAUCCUUCGUCGAUAGUUACUAUCGAUAUUAAUUUCGGGUUACCGAGCUGAAACCGUAAACCGAACAAUAAAAAUCUUCUGGAAAAACAUUCCUUUUCAGUUUUUCAUAGAUGCUUUUAUAUUACGAGUAUUAUAACACACCAGCUCAUAACGCGAUUUAUAAUUCCGUUGAUCUCGCAACGAUUGAGAGAAUGAGAAAAGCGACUGACGUCAAUCGAAUUUCGCUUUUUGAUUAAUAACGUAUUCUAAUACACAAGAUGAGAAGCUAGAACCACAUAGAUUGGAAAAUGGAUGAUAAAUGUACGAUGUUUUGUAGAAACUGCUAGUCUAACCGUUUCGUUAUCUUGACCGAAUCGAUAUCGAGUCUGUUAACCGAUGCAAUUUAAUAUUCCUCGAAUAUUAAGGAAGGUGAAAAACGGAAUGAAAUAUGUGGUUUUUUUCAUCUGACUUUGUAAUCGAAUACGUCUAAUGCAAGGAUAAUUUUAACGUUGAAUCGAUCGGCAAUUGAUCAAAUUUCGAAAUUGCUCGUCUAUUUUUGUUUUACGCGUACCAUAAUUUUCACCUGCUUACUAAUACUUUGCUUGAAAAAAUUGGAACGCGUCGAACAAAAACGAAACGUGCUAGAGUAUUCUUUCGCUCUUGAGAAGAAACGCGAAUAAGGCAAAGGUCGCUUUUGUUAUGCGUCGUUCGAUCGGGUCGCGUGAAUUAAUCAGAACGAGUCUGUUGUCCAUCGAUCGAUUAUUGAAAUUAGUCUUACAAGCCGUGGGAACGAGCGAGCCUGUUCUCUCGCGACUGAUUUUUGGGAAGAAGAAAGAGAUGCGGCCGAAACGUGGCCCUUCGGUCGGCCCUUGAAACGCGAUUCCCUCGCCGCGAAAGCAGGUGAAUAUUUUCGACUGCUCUUCUCGCGAUCGCACGGAGAAAUAUCGAUGGAAGCUCAUUGAACUCUGAACGCAGAGUAAAAUACGGAAAAAAGAGGGAUAUCCAAAAACAGGAAAAAAAAAAGAAGGUGAAAAAGGCAGCCUGGAUAGUCCUAUCGGGGAACGUGUGUUACGGUGAAUGUAACGUAGCAUGUUUCGUAUCUGCGAGAGAAUUAGCGGGUAUUUUAAAUUCUAAAUUUAUCGUGAAAAACUGUGAAAUUGCACGGUGAUUUUGAUCACGAAGGACGUCCAGUAUGGUGGCUGAUCUAUAAUCAAGUUACCUACGUAAUGAAAACCUUUUCGAUGCUUUUUUCAUUCGAAAAAAAAGAAAGAAAAAAAAGAGAAAUAGAGAAAGAGAGGGAAAAAAUCGAUCAUAGAGCGUGCUUAACACGGCGAUCAAUGCGUACGCGGUGUAUGCACUUCAGAUUUAUGGAAAAUUAAUGCGGGUUCCACGUUAUUUUAUCCUCCAAUGACGCUCGACGAUUUUAUUUUAUUACGAGGUCAACGAGUAGCUGAUCUGCGAUCAACAGCGACGUGAUAAGAAUAGGAAAAUCUAGCGUUGGCUUUUUUUUAACGCAUAUAAAAAAAUUUGGUUUUUCUAUCUCUAACUAGACAAUUACGCGGUACCUAGUUAUUAGCAAUAACAACGAAAUACGCUUUUUGGCUCUAUAACGACGUGAAACGAGAAACACGCGCGUGAUCUAUAUUAACCCCUUCGAUUUUAUGAACGCCUAUAUGCGCUGAACGAAAUCCAUUCUCUUGGUCUAUGAAUACAUUUGUGUAUAUGCAUUGGAAAUUCCAUUGCCGCGAACUAUGUACGUUCAACGCACUCUGUAGUCGUUUUCUUUCUUCUUCUUCUUCUUCUUCUUAACGCAAAUAAAAAUCGAAUGUCUCUUUUAUAAGUUCGAUCGAUUAACGUCGUAGGCUUUAUUUUAUUCGUAAUCUUAUUACAUUUUCUUUAUCUUUAUAAAGAGAUAAAAAGAUAGAGCAUCGACGUGUUUCAUCACGUGGAUUAUGAAGUCCGGUGAAUGGACCAUGCAUCACUGUUCGACCAUAAUGGAACGUUGUAAGGUAAAAGUUCCAUCCACCGAUGUUGAUAUAUAGCGUAAGAAAGAAUUCAUAUCGAAAGGGUUAACUCUUGGCGGUUCUAGUAGCCUUGGAUGUUUUAUUUUACCUGGUUCACACUCGGUAAGCUACUUGUAACGUUAUAACAUUGUGAUAUAUAACGUUAUCUUUGACAAAUUUUUAACAAACACUGUUCCGUUCAACGUUGUACAAACAUUGCUACGUGAUACGCGGAGCAGAUGAUUUUUUUUCUCUCCCUUUUUUUUAUCAGGUAGAUAUUCGCAGUAUUUCGAAAAAUUUCUGACAACGAGACUCUCAGAUCCUGUACAUACGUUCGAAUACAGCACGAAAAAGCGAAGAACGAAUCAUAAUUCACAAUUCGAUUAAACGAUUUCUCAAUUUCCGUUGAUACAAGAAUUUACGUAAAAGUUGGACUAACGAAAGAAACAACGACGAAUGUAUAAUUUUAAGUUAAAUUUUGAAACCGGUCGUUCGACCGGGCCUGCUAAGGUUAAUGUUAAACGAAUCAUCUUUCGAAUCAUAGUAAUAAUAAAUAUGUUCACGAAAUGUUCCAGCAAGCGUUCGAAUACUCGCGCGAGCCACCGUAUAUUAGAUAUGUAUAUAUAUAUAUAUAUAUAUAUAUAUAUAUGGGCGAUGAUUUCGACGAGAGCGGAUAGUUCAACAAGUAGCCGAUCCAUAAUCAAGCGUGACAGCGGUACCUUUCAUUCGGCUCUUUUGCGUCUAGCUGUCCGUUGUUCGCGCGCAUUCGAACCUCGGAUAGUUGGAAUUUACAGAGAGUUAUUGGACAUUCCAAAGUUCUGAAUUACGGCUGGCGAAUUACGCGGCGAUCUUGACACGGAAGUCGAAAGAGUGUACGCGGUUGAUUUGCAAUCAAAACCAAUCACGGGUACAGCACCGCACAGAGAGGGAGAGAGAGAGAGAGAGAGAGAGAGAAUAUCAUAAUCGGUGAACCCUUUGACCCCUGGCUUAAAUUACAAACGUGGUUUUAUCGUUGUAAUUAAAUAGUUCGGUAUUGACGUUGUUUCGCCUAUCGAUACGCUCGAUAGCGUGACCUAGAUGCGUGCCGUACAGAUCAAUUGGGUAAAUUCCUAUUCGUCGUACGGUUUUGCUUUGUACGCCACGCGGUCGUCGUCGUGGUUAAUGGAAUAGUUUGAUAAUGACAUUCCAAUGUGUGUGUAGACUGCAGCUCGGAUUCACGAUGACUUGCGUGUUUUCAUUUGGUUUAGAAUAAACAGCUUGCCGCUUAGAUACAUAUCCGAAGACGCGUGUUAACGUUUGGCGCGACUCAAAAAACUCCAAAUUUCCCUUUAUCGAAUAGAAGGCGUACGUUAUGUUUUUAUUUAUAUCGCGUAAAAUGAUAUAUUUAUGAUUCUAUCGGUUUUAUGUCGACGAUACAGUUAUAAGGUCGAUAUCGUUAGUCAUGCCGCUAUCGACCUGAUCUUAGCGUUACAGCGACACCUGCUUUGCUUGUUUCGUGCAUGCUACAAGCGGAAGGUUGCACCGCUUCCGCGAAUAGUGGCAUGCCGUGCGUUAAGCCAGCCCCGUAAUGUCGUUGAAACGACUCGCAAACAUUUCUUUAACGUCGUUCUAUAAAAUGUACGUUUUUUAGAUUGCGCCGCUAUCGAUACCAAGCAGCGAUACGCUCUGCCUUAAGAUUGCAUUUUCCUUCGCAUUCCUGUCGUCUAUUCUUGGGAUUUCUACUUUCACGCGCAUUCCUAUUUCUUUUAAAUCGAGAGACACAGAUGGUCAAACGAUAGUUUUCCUUUGGCGUGCCAAACUUGACGCUCUGUCUUCUUUCCUUGCUUUCUAUUUUAGUACUAUACACGCACGUAAAGUAUAUUUAUUUCUGUUAAAAUCCUCUUUGUAUCGUUUAUUUGCUACACAUUCUACUUUGUUCUUCGUUCUCAUUCAAGUACGUACAUUAAAUUUCGCGUUAUCCAGUAGUUGUUCCACGUGACGAAAACUUGAUACGAAAAUGAAACGUAGAACGUAGUAAUAAAAAGACGCUCCGUUGUAAAAUAAAGGUGCGCGCAAAUAUCUUUUGUAGCCACGGUGAAUAAUAAAAUGAAAUUUUUUCUUUCCCGUGCUAAAGUCAACAUUCUAUUUACUUGUAUUAAAAUCUAUAUUUCAUAUUUAUUUUGGUACGGCUUUGCUUUUGAAAUAAAUACUCGAAUAAGAGUGUAACAGCGUGAAAGUAGUUUAUCCAAUAUAAAGCAAUUAAAUCGAACGUGACUCGAGCCAUAAAGCGCGCAUUAUGAUAAUGGUUUCCUGUUUCUUCUCUUUUUCUUUUCUUUGUCUUUGUUUCGCUUUUGGCCUUUUUAGCAAAGGUUGCAAUUUUGAGAGAAAUUCAGAGCGUCGAUGUUUGAUUAAUUUAGAUCGUUUACUUCAUAAAUAAAGCGCGCGUGAGAUGAAAAUAAUUGCGAUGAUGAUUUUCCAAAUCUAAUAAUACCGGAACGACAAAAGCGAUUCGGUAAUUUUGCGUAUGUAAUUGUUAUCUUGAAAUACGGGAGCUCGUGAAAUGCUCUAUAAUACGAAAAUAUGCAUCGACCGUGUCUUCGGCGUUUGUUAAAACAUUCAUUAUCAGCAUCAAUAGGCAAUCAAACAGAUAACGCGUUAAUUAACUUGACAUCGAAAUUAAAUUUACUUCCGUGUCAAUUAAUCCGUUAACUAGGAAAGACGAGAGUUAAUUCCUCGCCCAAAUCGUCCAUAUUUUCAUCGUACAUACCGAUGCACACCGGUGUACUUAUUAACGCAUUGCUCCAAUUAAAAAAAAAAAAAAAAAGAAAGAGAGAGAGAGAGAGAAAGAGGAAGGAGAAAGAACGUUUGCAGUUGAAAAAGUUAAAAUAAAUUUAAUCGAUACCCGCUUUCGACAAUUUUUGCUUUUUGCGCCAAUUACACCGUCAACUGGGAGACGUACUAAUAAAUAAUAAUUUAUUCGCUGCAAUAUCUCUCCCAAAAAAAGAAAAAGAAAAAAAUAAAAUAAAAAGAAGAAAAAACAACGAUCUAUUAAUCGAUGUAUUAAUUGAAAAUAAUACAGAGUCGACUAUUAUGCAUAUCUCUAGCGUAAUAAUUUAUUCGACAUUGCGAUAUCUCUUACGAAACGCUACAAAAAAGGAAAGGGGAGAGAAACGUAAUGCUGCGUAUUUACAAAUUCACAAAAAAUUAAAACCGAUCUGCCCGGUACAUAUACGCUUUUGUUAAUUGCUACUUUUGUGAAUGAAAGAGUUUCUGAGCACGGCAAACAAAAUUCAGUUAACCGGUUGGACAGAGUUUUCGAGCAACGCAGGAAAAAAACAAUUGGAAAAACGUAAAACAAACGAAAUAUUCCGUAUACAUCGCGUUCUAUAUGUACGAGCGAACAAAUUCUCGUUGCCUUCGUCGAUGGGAGAGACGUUGUUGGGGGCUCGCGAUAAACGUUUUCGUCGGAUCGAUAAACCGGUCGAAGCGAUCGGUGCUAAGAUAUAAUUUUUCAUUGCUCGUUAUCCGACCUCUUGGCCUGACAUAUUUGCAAACGGUAAAGCAUCGAUACUAUAGCAUUCACCUUAGCUCGUUCAAUUUACAUAACUCGUGCUCGUUGCGGUAGAGCAAACGUCUUGAAUGUUUCUCGAGCGGUCUAAUCAAUAGCGAUACCCAGUGACGUCGAGUGGCGAUGAAAUCGAUUAAUCGGUUUCCAUUUUGCCUACCGAUCCAGGAUCCCGGUGGCUAUUCAUUAUUACGCGGCAACAGUACGGUUUUAAUAUUAAUUGCCCGGUCCGUGACGUAGACCCCCUUUCUAUCGUUCUACAGUUUCAAUAUCGCAGAGCCAAUUAAACGUAGAGACCGAUAAAAGACGGAAAUCAAAGCGGAAAGAGUUGGAGGAGCUGCUGGAGCGGUGAGACGAUACGAUAUGCAAGUCCAUAAAGAAAAAGAAAGAAAGAGAGAAAAAGUAGAUAAAAAUAAAAAAAAAAUACAAAAUGGGUAAUAGCGAAAAUAAACGAAGGAGGGAGGAGAGGAUCGCCAGGUUGCUCCAGUUAUUCGCGUAUGAGACGAUUAAUCGAGAAUAUAGGGAAUUAGCGGCGCGUGCAAAAUGUUUGCGUGAAACUACCGCCUCCCCACGUGGUGUUCCUUUAAUCAGAAAAAUAUCGGCAAAAAUCGGAUCGCACGGAGCGUAUGUAGGUCGUUGAAAAAGAAAUCCUGGUCGUGUUACAUAACGACGUGUGUUAUGGAAGAUUAAUUACAUCGGUCGGCACAUUGCUUUUUCUCCGUUAAACUGCCUAAAAGCCUUUUUGUUCUCGAAGGUCUGUUGUUCUGGUCUGUACCGUUGAUUUUUAUUAGCGUUGAUUAAGAAAACACAAAGUUGCUAAAUACAGAGAAUUCUCGCGCGAUAUUCUGGAUUGCGCAUAGAAUGUUCGAGAAAAAACGUCGAAAUACUUUAGUUUUUUAGUUAGUUAGUUUUAGUGUAUUUAGUUUAAAAAUCCAAAGAGUUUGGACGUGAAUUUCCUUCUUCGAUUGGAAACGUUUUUGAAUUACGAAUAAACUUAAAGGCGAUCGUUUACAUUUAUAAGCGAGAGCGUGGAAAAAUACUCGUGACUUGAACCUGUUACAGGCGAGAGAUUUCUAUAAUUCGAAAACGGGAUAUUUUCUAUCUGUAAUCAAAAAUGGAUAUCCCUUCGAAAUUUAGCUUUCUAAUUUUCGAACGUACGAAAUCGUUUCAUUUUCUUUUAAUUCUGGAUUCAAUUUCUGGAUUGAUUCUCAUACGCGGGUAUACUUGAUAGGUAAUAAAUUUGAAUUUGUCGCUACCUGUUAUAAACGAGAAAUUUUUUCAAAUCAAAGUGAAGUAUCAUUUUAAUUUUCCAAAUCUUAAGCCAUAUGAAACACGCAACAGGACGAUGGAUAUCCCUUUAAUAUUCUCUCAAUUCUCGAAACAUAGCGUACAUAUCUACGUUAUUUACAGUUAAUUUGCAUAUGUCACUACGCUUAAUAGGACAAAAAUAGUAGAAAAUAGAACAAAAAUAAUUUAUCAAUCGAUCAAUAUCAAUUGAGCCUUUCUUCUUGAAUUCGAGUUUAUACGUUUGUUGUAAUUCGAUAUUUUAUCGUUGCUAACGAAAAAACCGCACGACCUUUUUUCGCUACCUAAUAGAUGUUCGACAUCUGGAUUUGUCGUUAUCUUUACAUAAAAUUUACGAUUCGUUGUUCUCAUAAAAAUUUAUUAAAAAUGAUCACCUAUAUUAGAAUAUAACAAUUGAAAAUUAUAUAUAAUUCGUAUAAUUACUACAAUAAAACGCUUGUUAGAAUCGGCUAACGAUUAACGCGAGCAUUCGCGUGAUCAAUGCACGAAAUUGCAAAUGAUGUUGCAUCGAUAACGCGACGGGUCAAAGGCUAACGAAUAUUUGGGUGAACCGACUUCUCCUCCGGCACGCAUCCGGCAAACAUAUCGGUCGACCGCGUUCGGCAUCGCUUGUAAUCUGCUAACGAUGUCGCAUUUCUCUCGCUUUGAAAUUGCACGGGGAACCGUAUCGAUUUUGCGACAGCGGAAGAGAUAUAACGUGAUAACUAGCGACGUGAAAAAUUGCGUUGCACCGCGAACAAGUCUGCGACAAUAAUAAAGGGCCUCUCUAACUGCUCUCUCGUUACCGUACAAGUAAUUUCUACGGAAGAAUUUCCAACAACGACGAAAACAGAUAAUAAAUAGCAAUUAGAUUUUUAUCGCACUUACCCUUCUAGCGUAAUAUUAGCUUGAUCGUGUCCUUAUCGAAACAAAAGAAAUCGACCGUUAUAAUCGAAACUUCUAUUCUAUUGUAUAUUAGUCACCGAUAUAACAACCAUUGCGAAUUUGCGAUCUUCGUUAUUGAAAUAUCUUCGCACUAGAUCUUUUUAUCUUUAUGGCUUAAAAUAUAUUCGUUGAAUUAUUUUCCAUCGCUUUUCGAAACACUGUCAAUGACAAAUUAAUAUGGCCAGCCUGCGUUAAGUUAAAUAGUUUCGAAUACCGAAAAUAACGUUGAUACCAUUUCGCGGCGUUUCACAAACCGUCUUUAUCGAGUAAUCUUGUACUCGUGGGAAAGAAGAAAGUUGCGCGGCUCGUUGUUCUAGAAUUAACAGCUUUGUUAAAAAGUUAAAUAACCUGUAAUAUUCCAUAUCUAACGGUUUGCUAGAGUUUAAUCAGUUUUCGAGUGCCGGCCAAGCGAAUCUGAUUUUCUUUUAUGCAAUCUUUCGUAUGCAUAUUUAAAUCGUACCGAUCGCAGCUUCUUCCCUCUUUUCUUUCAUACCGGUUUUACGCCGAAGAAACCGAUGGCUAUAAGACCGGCGAGAAAGAAGCGUACACGUACGUAUGUUUGCAUCGGGCAAACAGUUUAGACGAGUUUCCCCUUUUUCACUCUUUAAACACCGAGCGACAUAAAUGUCAGGAAAUCAACAAGAACGGACUUAUCAUAUUUUUGUCCGUGUGUCUUUCAUAUUUUAUAUAAAGCGGUAAUAUCGCUACGUUUACUUUUCAUUUUUUAAAAUACCCCGAGAUAUUCCUUUUUUAUACAAUAAAGCUACUUGGACGAUAUUAUUCCACGCGUGACUUUAUUGGAAAACUCGCGACAUAGAAGGACGAAAGUAACGAAUUUGCCUAAAUGUUCAAAUAUUUAAAGUCAUUGUCCUCGUUAGCAAUGCACGCUUAUCCUUUUUCAAAAGCUAUCCUCUAAAGAGCUGCCAAGUUAUUUCACAAAUUCUUUGAUAAAGUCGCACGUACAAUGGGUACCGUUGAAUUCGUCUUCGUUAUCCGCUAUUCCUUUCGCUACACCCUUUUUUUACACAUUUUUUUUUUUUUACAGAUUUUUACAGAAUUUUACAGAUUUUUUAUAUACACACACACACACACACACACACACACACACACACACACACACACACACACAAAAUAUUAAGUAAUAACAAAGAAAUAUAUCGCUGAAUCGUUGUCGAAAAUUUGUCAUCUCGCGUCAUUUACGUGCGCGAAAAUUAUUUAAAGUAUUUGACAUAUAUUAAAAACGCUGCCACCGCGAAAAUAAAACGACAACACUUAAACAUGGUAUCACUAGCCGGAAAUUUGAGAAAUCUAGCGUCAUAUUUGGGAAAUGUCUUUGGAAGUAAAAGGGAGGGAUACGAAUUUAUAUAGAAACACGACGCAAUUUAUAAGGAAAAAGUAUGUUAAUGUAACGCUUCGCUGUUUCUUUUAAGUUUCUUAGUAUCGUGUACCAGAAGUCAGCUACGCUCGCGGAAUAAAAAUAUCGGAAAUAUCGAUUCUCACGAAAAAAGCAUCGGCGGUUUUCUAUCGAAAAUAGGAAACACGCGUGAAUAGAUGUGCCAUCGAUAUUUCUCUCUAUAUAGUGCGAAUUGUUAAAGAGUUAAGAGAAAGUCAUUUGUCAGUUAAUAAGAGAGUAUCCGAGGGACAUCUGAGCGAUGUUCUAUCUUCCUUAAUUAAAACGUCCUGUCUAGCAUUUUUUCGCCUCUUGAAAAGAUCACGUACGUAUAUAAAUAACGAUAAAUAAAUAAUUCAAAGCAAAUUUAAUUUCGUGUCAGAAAGGCACUAAAACCGUCAAAGGAAGAUUUUCUAUCGUUGGACUUCUAAUUUAAUAUAUGAAAACCUAUCCGCGAACCGACGUUCGUUCCUAAAAGAAUUAAAAAAGAAAAAAAAAAAGAAAAAAAGAAAGAAAGAAAAAGAAGAAAAGCAGAGAAAAGAGAGAAAAGUUAUCCUUCUCAAAAAGUUGUAACGCGAGAUGGAAACAGGUUUGCUCGAUCCGAGUUUAAUAUCGCGACUAAUAAAUUGGUGUGCUGAUAAAUUGUUGGCGAGGUUCGUCUCGCUUUUGUUCGCUUCUGUUCGCGCGCGCACGGCGACUGGUCGUGCGAAAGAAUGGUAGCGAGAAUGAAAAA